UUGUAAAACAUCCUACUCUUAUUUGGGAUAAGGUAAAAAUCGGAAAUAUUAUGCGAGAAUGUAUAAUCCUUCACAAUAUGAUAGUAGAAGACGAACGAGAUGGGUACACUCAGUAUGAUGUAUCCGAUUUCGCACAUCCGGAAUCAGCUAGUUCUUCACAAGUGGAUUUCACCUAUUCUAU
rnacentral:sRNA from 1 species